GGGGGCCCCGCACUAAGCGGGGGGAGCAUGUGGUUUAAUUUAGAUGCAACGGGAAAAACCUUACUUACUCUUGACAUCCAGAGAAGCCAGCGGAGACGCAGGUGUGCCUUCGGGAGCUUUGAGACAGGUGGUGCAUGGCUGUCGUCGGCUCGUGUUGUGAAAUGUUGGGUUAAGUCCCGCAACGAGCGCAACCCUUAUCCUUGUUUGCCAGCGAGUAAUGUCGGGAACUCCAGGGAGACUGCCGGUGAUAAACCGGAGGAAGGUGGGGACGACGUCAAGUCAUCAUGGCCCUUACGAGUAGGGCUACACGAGCUACAAUGGCGCAUACAGAGGGCAGCCAACUUGCGAAAGUGGGCGAAUCCCAAAAGUGCGUCGUAGUCCGGAUUGGAGUCUGCAACUCGACUCCAUGAAGUCGGAAUCGCUAGUAAUCGUGGACCAGAAUGCCACGGUGAAUACGUUCCCGGGCCUUGUACACACCGCCCGUCACACCAUGGGAGUGGGCUGCAAAAGAAGUAGGUAGUUUAACCUUCGGGAGGACGCUUACCACUUUCUGUUUCAUGAGGGGGGGAAGUUGUUUCAAUUUUU
rnacentral:rRNA from 1 species